rnacentral:ncRNA from 1 species
UAAACGACAAUGACGAGAAGUAGUAAGGUGGAAACUUUUUAAGAGAGUGUACGUUGGUGCGAGUACAUAAAGUCAAGGAAGCCUGAACUUAGCUCUGAGUUUGCUUAUUAUAAGCCGGGAUCAGCCCGUUAUCAUGAUUAGAGAUGUUACGUAUUUUGUAGUAACAUAAAAAUAGGUGGUACCACGUUAGAUAUCAACGUCCUAUAA